UACAGAGGUGGCAAGCGUUGUUCGGAAUUACUGGGCGUAAAGGGCGCGUAGGCGGUCUUGUAAGUCUCGUGUGAAAUCCCUCGGCUUAACUGAGGAACUGCACGGGAUACUGCUUGACUUGAGUUCGGGAGAGGGAAGCGGAAUUCCGGGUGUAGCGGUGAAAUGCGUAGAUAUCGGGAGGAACACCAGUGGCGAAGGCGGCUUCCUGGACCGGUUCUGACACUGAGGAGCGAAAGCGUGGGGAGCGAUCCGG
rnacentral:rRNA from 1 species